rnacentral:tRNA from 1 species
GCCGGAGUAGCUCAAUAGGUUAGAGCGUAGCACUCAUAACGCUAAGGCAGUGGGUUCGAAUCCCACCUCCGGCA